rnacentral:lncRNA from 1 species
GACAGAUUGACGUUGGCGGCGAAGCGGCGGUUCUCGACCAAUUGCCUGAGCGGUUCGGAUUCUUCGAAGCAACGGCAUAAAGGAAUUUGGUUAGAGUUUCUAUACUUCUCUAAUUUGGUCUUUUCGGUUUUACGAAAAACUUUUUUCGGUAUUUUCUUGGAGUUUUCGUUGGAACAAGAAAGCUGGGAUUCACCAUAAGGUUCUUGGUUUUUUAUCCGGAGAAGACAUAAGGUGUAAGCUUGUACUUCUAUUUCUUCAUAUAGUGGAAUACAUCUCUCUCGCUCUUCCCGUGGACGUAGGCAAUUGCCGAACCACGUAAAUCUUGGUUUCUUCUUUCUGCAUUUAUUUCUUUUACCGUUCGGUCGAUUUUCUCUAUUUUUCGUG